GCGCAUGUGUGAGCCCUCUCAUCCGACUCCUGAGAUCUUAUCAGGAAGCUGCUGAUCACCAGCUUCAGGUGUUUCUAUUUAUUGGGAGACUGUCUUUCCCUGGCACCAGCUGCAACCAAUGAUUACUUUAGAGAGACAGUUUAACAACUGCCUGACCAUCACCUGAUGGUCAUCUGACAUUCCCAGGACUCCAGAUAAGAGCCCAGGCCAAAGGACACCUUGAUUUUGACCUUGUCAGACCUGGAGUUGAAAAACCAGCUGCACCCUUCUAGAAUUCUUACUUACAAAACUCCUCGUGAGGCAGUCAACUUUGCUACUGGCAGCCAGGAGUCUCCUAGGAGCUUCAAUAGCUCAAUACAUCCAGAAAAACAGAGAAAGGGAGAAAGAGUGGCAGGGAGGAGAGGUUAGAGAGAGAGAGGGAAGUUUCUGAAUCAAAGAGCAGAGGGAGAUGUUACAAGACAAGAUGAUUUCACUGGAAGCUGAGUUUUGCCAGCUUUGGGGAAAUGCUGAUGCAGAACAUCAUUUAUUUAAGGCUGAUACUCAUGGAUAGAAGAGUCAAAGUGCGAAUAUAUGCACCCUUCUAUACGGAUUCUGCAGAAAGAUAUGCUUGGGUCAUGACUCAGGGUAUAUUUCUUCCUCUUAAAGUGUACCUUCCCUGGAGCUUCAGCCUAAUGCCUGAGGUCCUCAGUGAGGUCCCUCCAUUCUUCCUAUCUAAGCUGAAACUUCAACAUCUUCAGGAGUGUGUGACACCUGGUAUGUCUGCUCAGUUCUGAGCUCUGUAGUGACUCCACUGUUGUGUUUUGGAAAACUUGUCAUGUGCACAUGAAUAAUUUAAUCUUAGAUUAUUAAAUUAUUGAC
ensembl:lncRNA LINC02263 long intergenic non-protein coding RNA 2263